rnacentral:rRNA from 1 species
GACGAACGCUGGCGGCGUGCUUAACACAUGCAAGUCGAACGAAGAGCGACGGAAGCUUGCUUCUAUCAAUCUUAGUGGCGAACGGGUGAGUAACGCGUAAUCAACCUGCCCUUCAGAGGGGGACAACAGUUGGAAACGACUGCUAAUACCGCAUACGAUCUAAUCUCGGCAUCGAGGAUGGAUGAAAGGUGGCCUCUACAUGUAAGCUAUCACUGAAGGAGGGGAUUGCGUCUGAUUAGCUAGUUGGAGGGGUAACGGCCCACCAAGGCGAUGAUCAGUAGCCGGUCUGAGAGGAUGAACGGCCACAUUGGGACUGAGACACGGCCCAGACUCCUACGGGAGGCAGCAGUGGGGAAUCUUCCGCAAUGGACGAAAGUCUGACGGAGCAACGCCGCGUGAGUGAUGACGGCCUUCGGGUUGUAAAGCUCUGCUAAUCGGGACGAAAGGCCUUCUUGCGAAUAGUGAGAAGGAUUGACGGUACCGGAAUAGAAAGCCACGGCUAACUACGUG